rfam:Ictidomys tridecemlineatus contig027745, whole genome shotgun sequence.
GGGAUUGUAGCUCAGUGGUAGAGCACUUGCCUAGCAUGUGUGAGGACUGGGUUUGAUUCUCAGCACCA